rnacentral:rRNA from 1 species
GACAGAGGGUGCAAACGUUGUUCGGAAUUACUGGGCGUAAAGCGCGUGUAGGCGGCCAUACAAGUCGGAUGUGAAAUCCCGCGGCUUAACCGUGGAAGUGCACCCGAAACUGUAUCGCUAGAGUCCCGGAGAGGAUGGUGGAAUACUUGGUGUAGAGGUGAAAUUCGUAGAUAUCAAGUGGAACACCGGUGGCGAAGGCGGCCAUCUGGACGGUGACUGACGCUGAGACGCGAAAGCGUGGGUAGCAAACAGG